ACCUGGCUGGCUCAGUCGGGGGAGCAUGUGACUCUCGAUCUUGGGGUUGUGAGUUCGAGCCCCACACCGGGUA
rnacentral:tRNA from 1 species